GCAAACUUGGUCAUUUAGAGGAAGUAAAAGUCAUAACAAGGUUUCCGUAGGUGAACCUGCGGAAGGAUCAUUAAUGAUGCCCUCGACGUCUGCUUGACUGCUAGGGUUGUGCCGCGACUCUCUCGGGAGGCCGGCCUUCAUCUCACACACCGUGAACUGUGGCCUCGGCCAUUUACACAAACUGUUAGUAAUGAAUGUAACAUCAUAACAAACAUAAAACUUUUAACAACGGAUCUCUUGGCUCUCGCAUCGAUGAAGAACGCAGC
rnacentral:misc_RNA from 1 species